rnacentral:rRNA from 1 species
GAUGAACGCUGGCGGCGUGCCUAAUACAUGCAAGUCGAGCGAACAGACGAGGAGCUUGCUCCUCUGACGUUAGCGGCGGACGGGUGAGUAACACGUGGAUAACCUACCUAUAAGACUGGGAUAACUUCGGGAAACCGGAGCUAAUACCGGAUAAUAUAUUGAACCGCAUGAUUCAAUAGUGAAAGACGGUUUUGCUGUCACUUAUAGAUGGAUCCGCGCCGCAUUAGCUAGUUGGUAAGGUAACGGCUUACCAAGGCAACGAUGCGUAGCCGACCUGAGAGGGUGAUCGGCCACACUGGAACUGAGACACGGUCCAGACUCCGACGGGAGGCAGCAGUAGGGAAUCUUCCGCAAUGGGCGAAAGCCUGACGGAGCAACGCCGCGUGAGUGAUGAAGGUCUUCGGAUCGUAAAACUCUGUAAUUAGGGAAGAACAAAUGUGUAAGUAACUAUGCACGUCUUGACGGUACCUAAUCAGAAAGCCACGGCUAACUACGUG